rnacentral:rRNA from 1 species
UACGUAGGGACCAAGCGUUGUUCGGAUUUACUGGGCGUAAAGGGCUCGUAGGCGGCCAACUAAGUCAGACGUGAAAUCCCUCGGCUUAACCGGGGAACUGCGUCUGAUACUGGAUGGCUUGAGUUCGGGAGAGGGAUGCGGAAUUCCAGGUGUAGCGGUGAAAUGCGUAGAUAUCUGGAGGAAUACCGGUGGCGAAGGCGGCAUCCUGGACCGGCAUUGACGCUGAGGAGCGAAAGCCAGGGGAGCAAACGGG